UCAGAAAAUUCUCCCAUAAACGUAAAAGCUCUCUCCAUUCUCUAGUUCAAGUCUGCGUUUUCAAGAAAGGGAGGACGAAAGAAGAAGAAGCCGUGAGCAUCCCUCCAUAAUCCACCUUGAAGCCGUGAGUUUUGAAGCUUGCUUCCAAGAUUCAAUAGUUCAACGUUCAAGUUCUUCAUCCCCAUCUCCAUUCACGGUGUAUCCUCAAUCCCCUGAUUUGAACGAUUCCUAUUUACUAUGUACUGACGAUGAUAUUUUCAGGGUUAAAUUAUACGCUUACUUUUAUCGUAUCAACUCUCUACCGAAUAGAAAUUACAUUCCGGAGAGUGGUGUCCUCUUUCACUAUAGCUGAAUUGAGCUCGUCGCAGAUCAAAUCGAACGUGGCCUUCCCCAUCCGGAAGGCUUUUUUGAAUUCGUCUUCCGAGAAAUCGGGUAGUACUCGACGUCCAAUUAGUAGCCCUGCAAAUCGGAAGUAGUGCUCCACCAUCACUUGGACUCUUAAACCCAAAUUCUACUCAUCAAUUGAAUCUCAACCCAACUCAUCCAUUGAAUCUUAGUCCCAGAGUAAACAUGAAAGAUUGCUGGACCUUAAAUUGAUGGGAAAUGGAAGAAAAAAGAACUAUUUAGAGCGGGAGAUGAUAGCUUAGAUGUGGCAAAAUAGACAUUUAAAAUAGAGAGAGGUUUUGUCAUAAGAUUAGAUGAAAUUUGAUAAGGAGUGAAGAAGAACAAGAGAGAGAAUAACGUGCAGUGAAGGAAAGGGAAAACAGAAGAGAGAGGAAGGAAAGAAUGAAGUGACUGAAGGAAAAGAAGAAUCAUAGACCGUUAGAUUUGAUAAAUCCACGUGUCGUCACCUGCUUCAAAGCUCAGGUCAAUAAUGAGCUCAGGAGAGGAUCCUCUCCCAUUAAUAAAUUGACAUUUCUCUUAAAAAAAAAUAAAAAUAAAAAACAUAACUGAUAUGUGAGAAAAUUUUCAAUUUCUAAUCAAGAAUUAUGAUUGAAAUAUAAAAAAUUCUACCUCCACCAACAAUUUUACCAAAUUUAUUUUCAUUUCCUUUUCAAUGGGACUCAAUCAUAUUUAUUACCUCUUUAUAAAUGAUUAUAUAAAUACGUGAUCUAAUUCAGAUAUGAUGUUGCGCGUGAAUCCUUACAACACAUGGUCGUUAAAAAUGGUGUUGCUGAACCGAUCAAGGAUUCUAAAGGCGGGGUCGGGAUGGAUCCCCUUCUUUUGGGCUUGGGUUUUGGGCCUAACCCAUUGUUAGGGUUGUUGUUGCUCUUGUUCGGUCUAUGGUUUUGUAAUGAGCUUUGGACUAUUGUUUGUUCAUUUUAUGCUUUGUUGGAUGAAUGGCUUGUGGCCUCUUUUGUUUACGGGAGAUGUCGUAGUUUUGCAUGUAGAACUUAAGUCAUUUUAGUCUUUUCCGAAAUUUGUUUAAUGUUUAUCAAUAAUAGGCUUUAUGACUAAAAA